AUGAUAAUUGGGGUUGGAAGGAGACGAGGGGAGACUAUCCCAGGGGACAGACAGGAUACGGACAGCCCUGCGGGGAGCAGUGCGCGGGCCCCGUUGCGAGGAGCCGUCUCGGAGCCUUUGCUCUCUUCCUGCGGGGGUGGAGGAGUCCGCCCAGGAGGCUGGGAGACGGCCGUGGGGCACCAGAAUGCUUGCUUUAUGACGUGCGAAGCCUUGAGAGCAGCGGAGGGCAGCACGCUUACUGGUGGAAGGACUAAAUGGGGUCCGAAGACGUCGGUUCUAGACCUCUGUGUCCAAGAGGGGCUCUGGGGCAUGCAGAGAGCACCGUCGCUGCUCCAGAAGCGGCCCAACACCUGGACGGCCCAGCUCGGAUGCUGCAGGGCCGGGCGGGCGCUUACCCGCUACAAGGUCCAACCUGUGUGCGGAGGCAAAAUCCCUCAGUCGGGCCAGUAGAGAUUUGCCCAGGAUCACCCCGACUCCGACUAGAAGCCGGUUCUUGCAAUGCCCGGGCAAACCUGCUACUCCCAUUUGUUGCUUCCCUUCCCUGAGUUUGGGGUGAAGGGGUCGUGUCAUGUGACAAUUCCAAAGAAGUGGUCAUUUGGUAAGGCUAAUGUUUGAAAUGUUUCCGUCCCUGCCCUCUCGCGCCCCAGGGUUGACUAGGCCCCAUUUCUAUGGGUCUCAUGGGCACUACUGCUUUCCUGUGUUCCCGUGGGAAGGAGGGCUGUCCUUUCAGAUUAGAGUCCGCGGGGAGCAACAUUACAACCACACCCCCCUCCCCACAGCAGAGCAUCCUCCCGGAAGAUACUCCGACCCUUUGGCCGUGAUGCUCCCAGCCCACAUUAGCUCAGCAUCCUGAACACAGAAGAUAAUGAGAAGGGGAGGAACCCUCUCAUGGGAGGCUAGGCUGGGGACUGGAGAGUACGUCUCUUGGAGGGGGGAAAGCAACACCCCCUUUUGAGCCCAGAAUUCAUCUGAUUGCUCCCGUGUAACAGGGAGGCCCCCUCAACCCAGCGAGCACCGCAUUCCAGGCAGCAAUGUGCUUCUGAGAGGGGGUCAUGGUCAAGAGCUGCCAGUCCAGGGUCUGCUUUUGGGGACAGUUCCGCAUCAGAUCGGACAGUCUCAGAGGGCGUGAGGGUCAGGUGGUGGCCGGUUACCAUGGCGACAGGCCCAUAGGAGCUCCCCAAGUCAGACGAAGUCUGCAGCUGCUGCUGUGAAAUUUGUACCAG
rnacentral:lncRNA from 1 species